rnacentral:rRNA from 1 species
UACGGGGGGGCGAAGCGUUGUUCGGAAUUACUGGGCGUAAAGGGCCAGUAGGCGGCCAACUAAGUCGGAUGUGAAAUCCCCAGGCUUAACUCGUGGAACUGCAUCCGAUACUGGAUGGCUUGAAUUCGGGAGAGGGAUGCAGAAUUCCAGGUGUAGUGGUGAAAUACGUAGAUAUCUGGAGGAAUACCGGUGGCGAAGGCGGCAUC